UGAGUUUUAAACGGCCGCGGUACUCUGACCGUGCAAAGGUAGCAUAAUCAUUUGCCUUAUAAUUGAAGGCUGGAAUGAAUGGUUUGACAAGAAUACAUCUGUCUCUUAUUGAUUUCCUAGAAUUUAUUUUUGGAUGAAAAAGUCCAGAUAAUAUUAAAAGACAAGAAGACCCUAUCGAGCUUUAGAGAAAUUAGUGGAUUUAAUAAAGUCAAUAGAAAUAAAAGUAAAGCCAUUAGUGUACUUUGGUUGGGGCAACCAAGGAGUAGAUAAAGCCUCCUUUAUAUUUUAAAUCGUACUUGUGUUGAUCCAGAAAUUUUGAUCAAAGGAAUUAGUUACCGUAGGGAUAACAGCAUUAUCUUUUUUAAGAGCCCAUAUCGAAAAAAAGGUUUGUGACCAUGUUGGACCAGAAUAUCCU
rnacentral:rRNA from 1 species